GUGGGUUUCUUGCAGGGACAGAGUGAGACUGGCUCCCCGGUAACUUGCCUCUCUCCUCAGAUUACAGCGCACGUCCUGAAGCGGGCAGUGCUUCCAGCAGCACAGAAGACAGAGAAAUCUGUGAGGAGCUCCCACCCUUCAGAGCCAGUGGAGCCCCUCAGGGCAGCCUCUGGGGAGGGGUCCAACGAUGCGCAGAUGGAGGGGGGUGCCCAUCCCAGCUGCAGUGUGAAGGAGGAGCCUGCUGGCUAUGGGCAGGAGACCGCACCCUCCAGCCCCCUAAACCCAGCCACGUCCCAUGAGAGGUGCCUCGAACGACAGGAACCGACCUCUGCGCCUUUCCACCCGUCUAGGAUUCAGCAGCACACAGUGUUCAGGGCCCAUCCAGGGCCUGUGUGCAGCCAGGACCAGGAGCC
rnacentral:lncRNA from 1 species